rnacentral:misc_RNA from 1 species
GGGGAAACUUGUGUCUGAAGAAUGUGAAUGAGGGCCAACGAUUGAGGUACUGGUACUAGGAUUUGUGAUUGGAGGAAGAGUUUGUGAACCGUAGCUUCUGCUUACAUGAUCCAUGUAGGGGUUUUAGAUCUUGGACUUGGACUAAUGUAAAACAGCAUGCAAGUAAAUUAUGUAAGAACACAGAGGAACAAUCAAUUCUAUGAAGAAACCUGAAACCCAAUAUGAAAUGCAAGAAACAGAAAACUAAUGAAGAAGAAGAAGAAGAAG